GUUGGAUGAUUUCUCGUCAGCUAAAGAACAGUUUCUUGAUGAUGAAGAUAUUAAAUGUAUCUGUGAUGCCCUACAGUUAUCACAACGUUCAUUGCAAUAUAAUUCUAACGAACUACCAUCACAAUUACUGGGACGUUUAAAACCUACCAAGAGUCUACAUCCUCUACUAGAUGAUUGUAAGAAUUCACCAUUCUACUAUUUACUACCAGAUAAAACUAUAUUAGCACAGCCUGGUGGAUCUUUAUUAUAUUGUUUAUCAAAUCACACUGGUGAUAUACAGGGUCUUGAUAUAACUAAAGACGGUCAAUUAGCUGUAACAUGUGCGAGUGAUAGAACAAUAAAAACCUGGUCAGUGAAGUCCGGUAAACUUGCACGAUCUUAUGAUAUCGGUGUUGAGGAUCUAGAAUAUCUCAAGCUCUGCCACAAUGACCAGAUUAUCGUGGCUUCCGGAAAUAAAUACAUUGUAGGCGUCAACUUUUUGACCGGAGUUAAACUGUAUAAAAUAGCAACAAAAUGUAAAAGUAAUUUCUGUGUUGCUGGUGAAAAUAAAGAUGUUCUAGGAAUAUUUCAACAGAAGGGUGUAUCAUUAUACAAUGCUAGAACAGGGCAGCCACUGGGGCAUGCUCUGUGUCCGCAUUUGGUGAGACCGAAGAUGUUUCGAGAAGAGGACCUUUGUACUGGUCAAGGUCGAUAUAUGGCUUGUGUAGAUAAUGACAAUUACAGGGUAGCCAUAUUUGAUGUUACCCAAAAGAUGUUCCUACAUCUAAUACCAAUAUAUCCAGACUAUCAGGAUGAGGAUGGUGAUAUGGUGCGAAAUACAGUAGAUGCAAUGGUCAUUUCACCAGAUGAAAAAUAUAUCAUCAUGUCUAAUUAUACCGAGAACAUACCCCUUGUAUAUAACAUAGAAACCAUGUACAAAGUGAAGGAGUUAACGGGAGACCCGAAAGGUACAGCUGAAAAUUUUCGAUUUACACCUGAUGGUAAAUACCUGUAUUUUCCUGUUUUAAAUGACGUCGUGGCAUAUAAUCUAGAAACAGAGGAGAGAUUUAUCGCCCUUCAUCAUCCAUCGUUUGUUAAUUCUGUAAUUACUCAAGAUAUGAAAAGCAUGGUGACGACUGGAGACGAUCGAAUCGUUAGAAUCUGGGAUCGUAAGAAAGAUAAAGGUGUUAUCGAUGGCAAGAAAUCGUUAAAUACGCCACAGACAAAGGC